rnacentral:rRNA from 1 species
GAUGAACGCUGGCGGCGUGCCUAAUACAUGCAAGUCGAGCGAACAGAUAAGGAGCUUGCUCCUUUGACGUUAGCGGCGGACGGGUGAGUAACACGUGGGUAACCUACCUAUAAGACUGGGAUAACUUCGGGAAACCGGAGCUAAUACCGGAUAACAUUUGGAACCGCAUGGUUCUAAAGUGAAAGAUGGUUUUGCUAUCACUUAUAGAUGGACCCGCGCCGUAUUAGCUAGUUGGUAAGGUAACGGCUUACCAAGGCGACGAUACGUAGCCGACCUGAGAGGGUGAUCGGCCACACUGUAACUGGGACACGUUCCAGACUCCUACGGGAGGCAGCAGUAGGGAAUCUUCCGCAAUGGACGAAAGCCUGACGGAGCAACGCCGCGGGAGUGAUGAUGGGUUUCGGCUCGUAAAACUCUGUUAUUAGGGAAGUACAAACGUUUAAGUAACUGUGCACGUCUUGACGGUACCUAAUCAGAAAGCCACGGCUAACUACGUG